AAUAGGCUUGGUCCUGGCCUUUCUAUUAGCUCUUAGCAGGAUUACACAUGCAAGCAUCCCCGCUCCAGUGAAGACGCCCUACAAAUCAUCAUGACCAAGAGGAGCAAGCAUCAAGCACGCACACGCAGCUCAAAACGCUUUGCCUAGCCACACCCCCACGGGAGACAGCAGUGACAAAUAUUUAGCAAUAAACGAAAGUUCAACUAAGCCAUGCUAUAUUUAGGGUUGGUCAAUUUCGUGCCAGCCACCGCGGUUACACGAUUAACCCCAGCUAAUAGGGAUCGGCGUAGAGGGUGUUUAAGAUCUAACAUAAUAAAGCUAAACUCCACCUAAACUGUAAAACCCUAGCUAAUGUAAAAUAAACUACGAAAGUGGCUUUAAAGCUUCUGAACACACAAUAGCCAAGACCCAAACUGGGAUUAGACACCCCACUAUGCUUGGCCCUAAACCUCAGUAAUUAGAUAACAAAACUACUCGCCAGAAUACUACAAGCAACAGCUUGAAACUCAAAGGACUUGACGGUGCUUUACAUCCCCCUAGAGGAGCCUGUUCCGUAAUCGAUAAACCCCGAUCCACCCUACCCUCUCUUGCUCAGCCUAUAUACCGCCAUCUUCAGCAAACCCUAAUGAAGGCCACAAAGUGAGCGCAAACGCCGCCGCCGCGAAUACGUUAGGUCAAGGUGUAGCCCAUGAGACGGUAAAAAAUGGGCUACAUUUUCUGUUUCAGAAAACCCACGAAAACCCUUAUGAAACUUAAGGGUCCAAGGAGGAUUUAGCAGUAAAUUAAGAAUAGAGUGCUUAAUUGAACCAGGCCAUAAAGCGCGCACACACCGCCCGUCACUCCUCUCAAAUAUAUUUAAGGAAUAUUCUAACUAAACGCCCUAAUAUUUAUAUAGAGAGGAUAAGUCGUAACAUGGUAAGCGUACUGGAAGGUGCGCUUGGAUAAAU
rnacentral:ncRNA from 1 species